AGCGGCUACUUUUUUACUUUCUUUUUUUUUUUUUUUCUUCUUCUACUUCUUUUUUUUAACACCCCUCCCUCACUCACACCCUCUCCUCCUCCUCUUCCACCACCACCACCACCUCCUCCUCCAUCUUCUCCUCCUCUCUUUUUUUCAGUGUUAAAGAAGAAAGAAGGAAAGAAAGAAGGAGGAAAAAAAUAAAUGAAUCGAUCGGGCUCAACAAUCAUGUGGACGUGAACGUCGCGUUCGAGUCAAGCACGCGCGCAAGACUUUGUUUUUACAUGUAUUAUUUCGUACGCACGAAAGGAGGAAAGGUCCAGAGACACAGGGGUGACACUUCUGCGCCAGCCUCCGAGUGGAUCAUGUGGCGGCCCGGUUCACA
rnacentral:lncRNA from 1 species